rnacentral:misc_RNA from 1 species
CGCACAUUGCGCCCAUUAGUAUUCUAGUGGGCAUGCCUGUUCGAGCGUCAUUACAACCCUUAAGCCCUAGUUGCUUAGCGUUGGGAGCUUUCCGCCUCUGGCAGAAACUUCUUAAAGUUAUUGGCGGGGUUACGACAUACUCUAAGCGUAGUAAUCAUUAUCUCGCUUCUGACGGUGUCGUGACAGUCGCCAUAAACCUCUAUUUUCUAGUGGUUGACCUCGGAUCAGGUAGGAAUACCCGCUGAACUUAA